rnacentral:rRNA from 1 species
AAGUAUCGAUGACAAUAUUGUAAUAAACAUCAAAAAUAUAAAAAAGUAAUUCAAAGGGGUUAUUAAGGAAAACUAAGGCAAAUUUAUAUAAAAGGAGGUAUAUUACCAAAAGCUUACAAGCUGGAAUUAGGUAAGCGAUCCUAAGGUAAACCUUGUUAAUUAAUUACUUCCUGAAGUAAAACAUUUUAUUAGGGAAAGGAAAGGAAAUCAACCGAGACUCCGAAAGUAAUGGUGAGUGAAAUCGGAUUAGCCUAAUUAAUUUAAUAAAUUGAAGAACUUAAGUAUCUUUAUUAAAAAUUGAUUCUUUAUUAUUUAACUAAUAAAGGAAUAUUUUAUUAGUGAAAACUAGUGAGUAUCGUUCAAAUGAACUCAUUUAAUUUAAAGAUAUAUUAGUUAGUAAUACAUUACUUAAACUUUUUAACGUUUUAAUUAAUAUUUUAAUAUUUUAAAGUUUAAGGAAAGAGGGGGAAAGUUAAAAGACCACUCGAGGGUUAUACUAUGUAUUACUCUAAAGAAGGUGAACUACUAUAAGACCUGUAAAUUUAUUAAUUAAUAUUAGAAUAAGUAAUUCUAAAUAAAGUACGAUGAGAGAAAACUUGUCGGAAUAUAGGGGUACCAUCCUCUAAGGCUAAGUAUUAUAAAUUUAGCGAUAGUGAAAAAGUACUGUAAAGGAAAAGUUUGAAAAGCGAGUGGUAUACAAAAAAGUGAAUUUUUAAAAUAUUUAGUAUUGAAAAAAUAUUAAAUUUUUAUUAAUGAAUCGGUGAAAUAGAUCAUGAAUUAGUAACUCUAUAAGCAGUCGAAAUUCUACUUGAAAUCAUAAAAGAUUUAUGAAUGACGGCGUACCUUUUGCAUAAUGGGUCAGCAAGUUAAUAGGAGUAGCAAGGUUUAAAGCCCUAGCGAAAGCGACUGGACUAUAAAUUUUUAUUACAAGUAAUUACUAGUAAGAACUACGAAAAUAUUAUAAGUUAUUAGGGAUAUAUAUAGUGAUGGGUCAGUUACUUCUAUUAGACCCGAAGCCAGGUGAUCUUACCAAGACCAGAUUAUAAUGGAUCGAACGGGUGAAUGUUGCAUAAUUCUCCGAUGAGUUUUGGUAAGCGGUGAAAUGCCAAUCUGACCUGGUGCUAGCUGGUUUUCUACCGAAACAUAUUUAAGUAUGACGUCUACACAAAAUUUAUGGAGGUACAGCAAGGCAAUUCCCAACAAGUUUAAGGGUUGUGUUUAAAUACAUAACUACCUUUUAGGCGUUUAGGUUGCGGGGACCUCGAAAAUCUUACCUUUGGAAGCGAAUCUCGGAAUUACAUAAAUUGAUGGUAGAUAUUCAGACUACUCAUGCUAAGUUGGGUAGUCAAGACGGAAACAGCCGAGAACACUGAUCAAGGUCCCAAAUGAUUGUUAAGUGAAAUUAAGGACGUAGCAAUAUCGUAUACAGCUGUGAAGUGAGCCUGGUAGUCGCUACUUUUAAUGAUCGUUUGUAACAACGCAUCAGCAGUCUAGAUAGUAGCGCCGAAAAUUUAACGGGUCUUAAACAAUCAACCGAUAUCGUGUUGGUUUGGAGUAUUAAGAUGGAUUAAUGUUUUUAAUUUAAUUUACUAUUCUCUACCGUAUUUACGGAGCUCCUUCGGCCCCUUCUCCCUACGGCUCCGCAGGGGGGGGACCGAAGGCGUUGGAGCGUAGCGCUUAAAUUUAUUUAUAUUAUGAAGCUUUCUAUUUUUUAUCUAAACCUAGGUAGUAGAACAUUCAGUCAAACUAAUAAUAAGAUAGUGUUUCAUUAUUUUUUAAGUAACUGAAGAGAGAAUGCUGACAUGAGUAACGUAAAAAGAAGUUAUAAUACUUCUCGCCGAAUACGAAAGGGUUGCAAAUAGGAAAGGUUAAUCCGUUUUGUUUGAAUGCGGCCUCUAAGGACCAGCACCAAUGUGCUGGCUGAUGAGUAUAUAAUAGAAAGUCCAGUAUAUAUUGGACCAGGAAAUUAAUAUUAUAAGUAAUAAUUUUUACUCUAUAAAAUAAAAUUUCUUUUUAUAAAAAAUUUUAGGUUAGAAAUUAAAUUUUAUAACUUUUUUUGUAUAUUUUUGUAAAUUGCUAUUAAGGCGUAUAUAAAUUUUAAUUUUAAUGAGUGGACAAUAAUUUGUUAAAGGUUAUUUUAAAUGUUAAAAUUUUACUUAACAUAAAUUGGAGAUAAGAUUAGUUAUAAUAAUUACUUAUUUAUUUUAAAUAGUUGCUCUCCCUCUAUAACAGCUAAGUAUUAAAUUUUAAUUAUUUACUAAUUAGUAAAUAUAAAUAAUAAAAUUACUUACUAAAGAUUCAGAAAAUUCUUAUCCGAUGUCUAAGAGAACUAAAGAAAAUACUUUAGUUUUUUUAUACCAGUGAAUUAUUUAAGUAAAAUUUAGCACAUUUAUUUGAAAUUAUUAAUAUUAUCAAAAAUAUUUUUGUUAAGAUUAUGAUUAGAAAUAUUUUUUAGAAGACUUAAUUUAUUUAAAAAUUUUUAAAUAGGGUUUAAAAAAAGGUUAAUUAUAAUAAAUAGUAUUAUUAAUAAUCAAAAAUAGUAAUAUAAAUAUUUAAUAAAUAUACAAAAUAAACUACCGUACCCUAAACCGACACAGGUUCGUAGGUAGAGAAUACUAAGGCGUAGAGCUAAAAGUUGUUAAGGAACUCGGCAAAUUCACCUCAUAAGUUUGACGAAAAGAGGGACCGCACAUUUUAUAAUAUGAUCUAAUUAUUCUCUUAGUUAUUAAUUUAAUAUUAUCUAUAUAUUAAUUUAAUAUUAUCUUAUCUAAAAAAUAAGGUAAAUUUAAGGGAGGAUAAAUAAUUAAUUUAUUAUAAAUAAGGCGGUGGCACAGAAUAGGAGGCCCCGACUGUUUACUAAAAACACAACACAGUGCAAUCAUUAAUAUGAUAGUAUACUGUGUGAAAUUUGCCCGAUGCCAUUAAUAUAAGAGAGGUCAUGGGGAACUGUGACUAAUCGAAAAUCUGGUUAAUAGCGGUCUUAACUAUGAGGAUCCUAAGGUAGCAAAAUAAGUUGGCCAUUAAAUGUGGUCCGGUAUCAAUAAUGUAACGAUGGCCUCACUGUCUCUACAACUUGCUCAGUGAAAUUGAAUUACGCGUGCAGAUGCGCGUUGCCUCCAGGGGGACGGGAAGACCCUAUGCAGCUUUACUGUAGUUAGUUAUCACAUGGAUCUAGAACAAUUUUAAUUAAUAGCAAAUAGGGAAGUCGAUAGACAAAUACUGGAAACCUUAAAAUUAAAAUUGGGUUUAUGUUUACCUUAAAAUUAAAAAGAAAAGGGAGAGUUGACUAAUUGGCAGUUUGACUGGGGCGGUCGUCUUUAAUAGAGUAGCAAAGUACAUCCAAAUAUUUUUUCUUACAAACAAAAAUAAGGUAUCCCUAUUUUUAUACUUUUUAUUUUAUUUUAUCUUAGUUAAUAUCACUAUUAAUCUAUUAUUUUAUUAAAAAAAAAAGAUAGAAGGCAAAGAUACUAAAUUUAAAUAUUAAAUUUUCUCUUUAAUAUUUAAAACAAAAAACUUAUUCUCUUUCUUAGAAUAUUAAAGUUUUUAAGUCAGAGGAUAGUAACUAUUAAUUAAGUAUUUAUUCUUAGGGCUAACGCUAUUCGAUAUCGUGUACGCGGGAACUUAAAAAAAGAUAUUAAAUUAAUUAACAAAAAAAAUAAAAACUUUCUCUUUAGCUACUUACGUUACCUUUUCUUAAAAUCUUUUUAGGAUUGGUUACUUUAAUAUCUACUCUGCCUCUCGCGUACGCGGGACCUUAUAGGGAAAGGAAGGGAAAGAUAUUUAAGCAAAUUAUUUAAAUUAACGUAAUGUUAGUGAUCCCUUUCUGCUGGCAGAAAGGGUCAAGAGUUUGGCAAAAAACAAUAACACACUAAAAUUUUUAUAAAGGUAUAGCUAGAAAUUGAAUGGAGAUCAAUCAACCAGUGAAGGGUUGCGCAGAGCUCAAUGGCGGUAAGCAUGCUUAACUGAAAGACCUAAAAGUCGCACAGAUACGUAAGUAGGGCAUAGUGACCCCUCGCUAUAAAAUGGGAUAGACGGGGAUCAAUUAAUAAAAGUUACGCUAGGGAUAAUGUUUGUUGUCCUCUACUGUUGUAAAGUAGUAGUAAUAAAGAACUUACCUGUGAAGGUAAGAAGUAAUAAUUAAAAAAAAUUACAAUAACAAAAUUGAACAGGCUGAUAGCCGACGAGAGUACACAUUGUCUCGGCUGUUUGGCACCUUUUUGAAUUAUUUAUCUACUAUUUAAAUUAUAAACGGUCACUUAAGAGUAAUAAGUAAACAAAUGAAGAGCAAGUAAAUACAAUAAAUAAUACAUCGGGGAAUUUUAAUAGUAAUAUUAUUUUAAACCUUAAUUUAAAAAUUAAGAUUAUUAGUUAUUAAACUAAUAUUAUGCGAUGUCGACUCAUCCUAUCCUCCGGGGGAAGAAGCUUGGAAGGGUUCGGCUGUUCGCCGAUUAAAAGGGUACGUGAGUUGGGUUAAAACUCUAAAUUUGAAUAAAAUACUUUAUUUAAAUUUUAAAAAGCCCCUUAUCUAUUUUCUCGCAUAAUUACGCUAUUUUUAGGCAAGACUAUGAAGAGAAAAAUAGAAGAAAAGAACUUACUUGAGAAAGUAAGAUAUUUAGGAUAAAAUACUAAAUGAUAACAUAAUUGUUAAUACGACGUGAGUCAGUAUGGUCCCUAUCUUCUGGAGGAAUAAUUAGUAAAAAGGGGCAGACCUUCUAGUACGAAAGGAUCAAUAGGCUGUGUUUCUCUAGUGUACCAAUUGUUUGUAGUAUUUUGUUAUGAUUACUCUAUUUCCUAAUAAGAGUAGAAAUCAUUGAGUAAAUCCUUUUGAACUUUAGGCUAAAAAAGUUCUUUAAUUUAAAUACCCUUAAAUAAGGUUAUGAUAAAAGGUAGCAAUUUAAGAAAGCAUAGUUGGGUAGCCACAAACAUAAUAGAUAAGUGCUGAAUGUCUAUAAAGCAAGAAUCUAACCCCUAGAUACUUUCAAAAUGAUUAUUUUUUUUUAUCUUAAAUACAAGCUUAUUUUUUAAGCUUAAUUUAGAAUUAAUAUCAUUAAUUAAGAAAUAGAACAUUUCUAGAUAGGCUGCAAAUACAA